rnacentral:rRNA from 1 species
ACUCCUACGGGAGGCAGCAGUGAGGAAUAUUGGUCAAUGGACGCAAGUCUGAACCAGCCAUGCCGCGUGCAGGAAGACGGCUCUAUGAGUUGUAAACUGCUUUUGUACGAGGGUACCCGCAGAUACGUGUAUCUGUCUGAAAGUAUCGUACGAAUAAGGAUCGGCUACCUCCGUGCCAGCAGCCGCGGUCAUACGGAUGAUUCAAGCGUUAUCCGGAUUUAUUGUGUUUAA